rnacentral:rRNA from 1 species
GUUCCAAUAAAGGAGGGUUCCCGCCUUUUUUAGGUUGGUUGGAAAGGAACGGUCUCACCAAGGCCACUUUUUCGUCGCCCCCCUGGAGGGGGUGUUCGCCCCACAGGGAAAUUAACACCGGUCCAGAUUCCUUCGGGAGGCACCAGUAGGGAUCUUCCGCAAUGGGCGAAAGCCUGACGGAGCAACGCCGCUUGAGUGAUGAAGGUCUUCGGAUCGUAAAAUUUUGUUAUCAGGGAAGAACAAAUGUGUAAGUAACUGUGCACAUCUUGACGGUACCUGAUCAGAAAGCCACGGCUAACUACGUGCCAGCAGCCGCGGUAAUACGUAGGUGGCAAGCGUUAUCCGGAAUUAUUGGGCGUAAAGCGCGCGUAGGCGGUUUUUUAAGUCUGAUGUGAAAGCCCACGGCUCAACCGUGGAGGGUCAUUGGAAACUGGAAAACUUGAGUGCAGAAGAGGAAAGUGGAAUUCCAUGUGUAGCGGUGAAAUGCGCAGAGAUAUGGAGGAACACCAGUGGCGAAGGCGACUUUCUGGUCUGUAACUGACGCUGAUGUGCGAAAGCGUGGGGAUCAAACAGGAUUAGAUACCCUGGUAGUCCACGCCGUAAACGAUGAGUGCUAAGUGUUAGGGGGUUUCCGCCCCUUAGUGCUGCAGCUAACGCAUUAAGCACUCCGCCUGGGGAGUACGACCGCAAGGUUGAAACUCAAAGGAAUUGACGGGGACCCGCACAAGCGGUGGAGCAUGUGGUUUAAUUCGAAGCAACGCGAAGAACCUUACCAAAUCUUGACAUCCUUUGACCGCUCUAGAGAUAGAGUCUUCCCCUUCGGGGGACAAAGUGACAGGUGGUGCAUGGUUGUCGUCAGCUCGUGUCGUGAGAUGUUGGGUUAAGUCCCGCAACGAGCGCAACCCUUAAGCUUAGUUGCCAUCAUUAAGUUGGGCACUCUAAGUUGACUGCCGGUGACAAACCGGAGGAAGGUGGGGAUGACGUCAAAUCAUCAUGCCCCUUAUGAUUUGGGCUACACACGUGCUACAAUGGACAAUACAAAGGGCAGCUAAACCGCGAGGUCAAGCAAAUCCCAUAAAGUUGUUCUCAGUUCGGAUUGUAGUCUGCAACUCGACUACAUGAAGCUGGAAUCGCUAGUAAUCGUAGAUCAGCAUGCUACGGUGAAUACGUUCCCGGGUCUUGUACACACCGCCCGUCACACCACGAGAGUUUGUAACACCCGAAGCCGGUGGAGUAACCAUUUAUGGAGCUAGCCGUCGAAGGUGGACAAAUGAUUGGGGGAAGUUUGUCCUCCCCGGUU